GACGAACGCUGGCGGCGUGCUUAACACAUGCAAGUCGAACGGAGUGGCGAACGGGUGAGUAAUACGUGAGUAACCUGCCUUCUUCUUUGGGAUAAGCCUGGGAAACUGGGUCUAAUACUGGAUAGUGGGGGAUGGGCUCACGGCCUAUCAGCUUGUUGGUGGGGUGAUGGCCUACCAAGGCGGUGACGGGUAGCCGGCCUGAGAGGGUGACUGGCCACAUUGGGACUGAGAUACGGCCCAGACUCCUACGGGAGGCAGCAGUGGGGAAUCUUCGGCAAUGGGGGGAACCCUGACCGAGCAACGCCGCGGGAGUGAAGAAGGUUUUCGGAUCGUAAAGCUCUGUUGUUAAGGAAGGAGGACUUAACCAGAAAGGGACGGCUAACUACGUGCCAGCAGCCGCGGUAAUAC
rnacentral:rRNA from 1 species